rnacentral:rRNA from 1 species
UACGUAGGGUCCGAGCGUUGUCCGGAAUUAUUGGGCGUAAAGAGCUCGUAGGUGGUUCGGUAAGUCGGAUGUGAAAUCUCCAGGCUCAACCUGGAGGGGUCAUUCGAUACUGCCGUGACUAGAGUUCGGUAGGGGAGUGUGGAAUUCCUGGUGUAGCGGUGAAAUGCGCAGAUAUCAGGAAGAACACCCGUGGCGAAGGCGGUUCUCUGGGACGGUACUGACGCUGAGACGCGAAAGCGUGGGGAGCGAACAGG